GAUGAACGCUAGCGGGAGGCCUAACACAUGCAAGCCGAGCGGUAGAGAUUCUUCGGAAUCUUGAGAGCGGCGUACGGGUGCGGAACACGUGUGCAACCUGCCUUUAUCAGGGGGAUAGCCUUUCGAAAGGAAGAUUAAUACCCCAUAAUAUAUUUGAUGGCAUCAUUAGAUAUUGAAAGCUUUGGCGGAUAGAGAUGGGCACGCGCAAGAUUAGAUAGUUGGUGAGGUAACGGCUCACCAAGUCGAUGAUCUUUAGGGGGCCUGAGAGGGUGAUCCCCCACACUGGUACUGAGACACGGACCAGACUCCUACGGGAGGCAGCAGUGAGGAAUAUUGGACAAUGGGUUAGCGCCUGAUCCAGCCAUCCCGCGUGAAGGGCGACGGCCCUAUGGGUUGUAAACUUCUUUUGUACAGGGAUAAACCUACUCUCGUGAGAGUAGCUGAAGGUACUGUACGAAUAAGCACCGGCUAACUCCGUG
rnacentral:rRNA from 1 species